AUUGAACGCUGGCGGCAUGCCAUACACAUGCAAGUCGAACGGUAACAGGUCUUCGGAUGCUGACGAGUGGCGAACGGGUGAGUAAUACAUCGGAACGUGCCUAGUAGUGGGGGAUAACUACUCGAAAGAGUGGCUAAUACCGCAUGAGAUCUACGGAUGAAAGCAGGGGAUCGCAAGACCUUGUGCUACUAGAGCGGCCGAUGGCAGAUUAGGUAGUUGGUGGGAUAAAAGCUUACCAAGCCGACGAUCUGUAGCUGGUCUGAGAGGACGAUCAGCCACACUGGGACUGAGACGCGGCCCAGACUCCUACGGGAGGCAGCAGUGGGGAAUUUUGGACAAUGGGCGCAAGCCUGAUCCAGCAAUGCCGCGUGCAGGAUGAAGGCCUUCGGGUUGUAAACUGCUUUUGUACGGAACGAAAAGCCCUGGGUUAAUACCCUGGGGUCAUGACGGUACCGUAAGAAUAAGCACCGGCUAACUACGUGCCAGCCGCCGCCGUAAUAC
rnacentral:rRNA from 1 species